CCUACGGGAGGCUGCAGUGGGGAAUAUUGGUCAAUGGCCGUAACGCUGAAGCAGCCAAGUCGCGUGAGGGAAGAAGGAACUAUGGAUUGUAAACUUCUUUUAUAGGGGAAUAAAGGUAUCGAUGUCUGGAUAAUUGGAUGUAGCCUAUGACUAAGCAUCGGCUAACUCAGUGCCAGCAGCCCCGGUAAUACGGAGGUUGCGAGCGUUAUCCGGAUUUAUUGGGUUUAAAGGGUGCGUAGGUUGUUAUUUAAGUCAGCGGUGAAAGUUUGUGGCUCAACCAUAAAAGUGCCGUUGAAACUGGAAGACUUGAGUGUGUUUGAGGUAGGCGGAAUGCGUGGUGUAGCGGUGAAAUGCGUAGAUAUCACGCAGAACUCCGAUUGCGAAGGCAGCUUACUAAGCCAUAACUGACACUGAAGCACGAAAGCGUGGGGAUCAAACAGGAUUAGAUACCCGUGUAGUC
rnacentral:rRNA from 1 species